GUUUUGCACUGAUUGCAAAAAUAAAGUCCUCCGAGCAUACAAUAUCCUUAUUGGUGAACUUGACUGCAGCAAAGAAAAGGGCUACUGUGCUGCACUUUAUGAAGGCUUGCGGUGCUGUCCACAUGAACGACACAUACAUGUUUGCUGUGAAACAGACUUCAUUGCACAUCUUUUGGGUCGUGCUGAGCCAGAGUUCGCAGGAGGGCGAAGAGAAAGGCAUGCAAAGACAAUAGACAUAGCCCAAGAAGAAGUUCUGACCUGCUUGGGAAUUCAUCUUUAUGAAAGACUGCAUCGAAUCUGGCAAAAACUACGGGCAGAAGAGCAGACAUGGCAGAUGCUUUUCUAUCUUGGUGUUGAUGCUUUACGCAAGAGUUUUGAGAUGACCGUGGAAAAAGUACAGGGUAUUAGCAGAUUGGAACAACUUUGUGAGGAAUUUUCAGAAGAGGAACGAGUAAGAGAACUCAAGCAAGAAAAGAAACGCCAAAAACGGAAGAAUAGACGAAAAAAUAAGUGUGUGUGUGAUAUUCCUACUCCCUUACAAACAGCAGAUGAAAAGGAAGUAAGCCAAGAGAAGGAAACAGACUUCAUAGAAAAUAGCAGCUGCAAAGCCUGUGGCAGCACUGAAGAUGGUAAUACUUGUGUAGAAGUAAUUGUUACCAAUGAAAAUACGUCAUGUACCUGUCCUAGCAGUGGCAAUCUUUUGGGGUCCCCUAAAAUAAAGAAAGGUAAGUAAAUAAUUUAUUUUUAAAAUGAACUCUUAACUCUAUUCUUUCUUACUGUUAAAUGUAAGAGCUUUUAGAGAUUCUGUGAGCUAGAAUUUUAAAACUGCUUUAUAGUUCCAAGAAUAUCAUAUAAUUUAGUCAGAUACUUAAUAUUUCCUUUUUCUUUGUUCUUUGACUGAUUUUUGACAAAAACGAAAAAUGGUAAAUUCCUAAUCAUAUUUUUAUUAUUUAAUUUACUUUCUACUUUAAAAAAAAAAAUCCUUCAUUGGAAAUGUUCUACUUUUAAUAAGCCAUUAAUUAUGAGAUUUUUCUGUGGUCCCCAAUGGGUUCACUCUUUGUCCUAAUAUACUUAUUGGUAUGUUAAUUGUAACUCUCACUUGAUUUGUUCUCAGGCUUAUCUCCACACUGUAAUGGUAGUGAUUGUGGAUAUUCAUCUAGCAUGGAAGGGAGUGAAACAGGUUCUCGGGAGGGUUCAGAUGUUGCCUGCACUGAAGGCAUUUGUAAUCAUGAUGAACACGGUAGGCUCACAUUAAGUUUCCCAGUUAUUUCUACUACAUGGCUGACUUAAGAACAUAAAUAAGAAGGAUUAUUGAUUUCUGCAGGUGAUGACUCUUGUGUUCAUCACUGUGAAGACAAAGAGGAUGAUGGUGAUAGUUGUGUUGAAUGUUGGGCAAAUUCUGAAGAGAACAACACAAAAGGAAAAAAUAAAAA
rnacentral:sRNA from 1 species